AUUACAUAUAAAGUAUACACACAGGUUAUUGGAUACAAAAAGACAGACACUUAAUACUUCAUCAAGCUUCAUGUAUAUGGAGGUGUAAAAGGGUGGGUACGAGAAAAGUUAUUCAUUUGGAGAUAGACAUUUAUUUGGCCUAUUGGCAAUAUAGAUGCAGAGGAAAUAUUUGAGGAGGUAUUGUUUGACAGGAUUGGGCAGCAAACUUUAAGGGCUCAGAUGUUUUCAACCCGCGCAAAAGAUUUAAAUUGAUUGCGUUUAUCUAUACUAUCGUAUAAAGCAUUUCACAAGGGUUCCAACCAAAUUUAAAUAAUUGCAACAUAUUAUGCUUAUAGUACAACAACUCAAUGAAGUUAGUAAAGGGAAUUAGUCUUUCUACA